rnacentral:rRNA from 1 species
UGCAGUCGAACGAUGAACCACUUCGGUGGGGAUUAGUGGCGAACGGGUGAGUAACACGUGGGCAAUCUGCCCUUCACUCUGGGACAAGCCCUGGAAACGGGGUCUAAUACCGGAUAUGAGCCUGGGAGGCAUCUCCCGGGUUGUAAAGCUCCGGCGGUGAAGGAUGAGCCCGCGGCCUAUCAGCUUGUUGGUGAGGUAAUGGCUCACCAAGGCGACGACGGGUAGCCGGCCUGAGAGGGCGACCGGCCACACUGGGACUGAGACACGGCCCAGACUCCUACGGGAGGCAGCAGUGGGGAAUAUUGCACAAUGGGCGAAAGCCUGAUGCAGCGACGCCGCGUGAGGGAUGACGGCCUUCGGGUUGUAAACCUCUUUCAGCAGGGAAGAAGCGAGAGUGACGGUACCUGCAGAAGAAGCGCCGGCUAACUACGUGCCAGCAGCCGCGGUAAUACGUAGGGCGCAAGCGUUGUCCGGAAUUAUUGGGCGUAAAGAGCUCGUAGGCGGCUUGUCACGUCGAUUGUGAAAGCCCGAGGCUUAACCUCGGGUCUGCAGUCGAUACGGGCUAGCUAGAGUGUGGUAGGGGAGAUCGGAAUUCCUGGUGUAGCGGUGAAAUGCGCAGAUAUCAGGAGG